rnacentral:rRNA from 1 species
GACGAACGCUGGCGGCGUGCCUAAUACAUGCGAGUUGAGCGCUGAAGGUUGGUACUUGUACCAACUGGAUGAGCAGCGAACGGGUGAGUAACGCGUGGGGAAUCUGCCUUUGAGCGGGGGACAACAUUUGGAAACGAAUGCUAAUACCGCAUAAAAACUUUAAACACAAGUUUUAAGUUUGAAAGAUGCAAUUGCAUCACUCAAAGAUGAUCCCGCGUUGUAUUAGCUAGUUGGUGAGGUAAAGGCUCACCAAGGCGAUGAUACAUAGCCGACCUGAGAGGGUUAACGGCCACAUUGGGACUGAGACACGGCCCAAACUCCUACGGGAGGCAGCAGUAGGGAAUCUUCGGCAAUGGACGAAAGUCUGACCGAGCAACGCCGCGUGAGUGAAGAAGGUUUUCGGAUCGUAAAACUCUGUUGGUAGAGAAGAACGUUGGUGAGAGUGGAAAGCUCAUCAAGUGACGGUAACUACCCAGAAAGGGACGGCUAACUACGUG